rnacentral:rRNA from 1 species
AUGCACGCCGGCGGCGUGCCUAAUACAUGCAAGUCGAGCGAACGGACGAGAAGCUUGCUUCUCUGAUGUUAGCGGCGGACGGGUGAGUAACACGUGGAUAACCUACCUAUAAGACUGGGAUAACUUCGGGAAACCGGAGCUAAUACCGGAUAAUAUUUUGAACCGCAUGGUUCAAAAGUGAAAGACGGUCUUGCUGUCACUUAUAGAUGGAUCCGCGCUGCAUUAGCUAGUUGGUAAGGUAACGGCUUACCAAGGCAACGAUGCAUAGCCGACCUGAGAGGGUGAUCGGCCACACUGGAACUGAGACACGGUCCAGACUCCUACGGGAGGCAGCAGUAGGGAAUCUUCCGCAAUGGGCGAAAGCCUGACGGAGCAACGCCGCGUGAGUGAUGAAGGUCUUCGGAUCGUAAAACUCUGUUAUUAGGGAAGAACAUAUGUGUAAGUAACUGUGCACAUCUUGACGGUACCUAAUCAGAAAGCCACGGCUAACUACGUG